rnacentral:rRNA from 1 species
AACGCUGGCGGCGUGCCUAACACAUGCAAGUCGAACGAAGCACUUCUGAAUGGAGAUUCGUCAAAGUUCAGAUUUGACUUAGUGGCGGACGGGUGAGUAAUGCAUGAGCAACCUGCCCUGCAGUGGGGGACAACAGUUGGAAACGACUGCUAAUACCGCAUGAUGUAUCUGGAAGGCAUCUUCCGGAUACCAAAGAUUUAUCGCUGUGGGAUGGGCUCAUGUCUGAUUAGUUAGUUGGUGGGGUAACGGCCUACCAAGACUGCGAUCAGUAGCCGGACUGAGAGGUUGAACGGCCACAUUGGGACUGAGAUACGGCCCAGACUCCUACGGGAGGCAGCAGUGGGGAAUAUUGGGCAAUGGGCGAAAGCCUGACCCAGCAACGCCGCGUGAAGGAAGAAGGUCUUCGGAUUGUAAACUUCUUUUAUGAGGGACGAAGGAAGUGACGGUACCUCAUGAAUAAGCCACGGCUAACUACGUG